UGAGGAUCCCUAGUAGCGGCGAGCGAAGCGGGAAGAGCUCAAAUUUAUAAUCUGGCACCUUCGGUGUCCGAGUUGUAAUCUCUAGAAAUGUUUUCCGCGUUGGACCGCACACAAGUCUGUUGGAAUACAGCGGCAUAGUGGUGAGACCCCCGUAUAUGGUGCGGACGCCCAGCGCUUUGUGAUACAUUUUCGAAGAGUCGAGUUGUUUGGGAAUGCAGCUCAAAUUGGGUGGUAAAUUCCAUCUAAAGCUAAAUAUUGGCGAGAGACCGAUAGCGAACAAGUACCGUGAGGGAAAGAUGAAAAGCACUUUGGAAAGAGAGUUAACAGUACGUGAAAUUGUUGGAAGGGAAACGCUUGAAGUCAGACUUGCUUGCUGAGCAAUCGGUUUGCAGGCCAGCAUCAGUUUUCCGGGAUGGAUAAUGGUAGAGAGAAGGUAGCAGUUUCGGCUGUGUUAUAGCUCUCUGCUGGAUACAUCUUGGGGGACUGAGGAACGCAGUGUGCCUUUGGCGGGGGUUUCGACCUCUUCACACUUAGGAUGCUGGUGGAAUGGCUUUAAACGACCCGUCUUGAA
rnacentral:rRNA from 1 species